GUGGUGUGUGCAGCCAGAGGCCUGUGCAUGAUUUCUUUCUUUUUCAAAGUGUUCUCUGCUCUGUGCUACUGACAUCUGGUAAUGGCUGAGAGCAACAGAUAAGGAAAGUGUUUAUCUGUGAGGGACUCUGUGACGGACUGUUGAUUGGGGCCUGUAGGCAGCUGGAGGCUGGAGGAAUGGCCAUGAGAAAAGUUAGUAUGGAUAUGCAUGGUCCUCAGAGGCCAAGAAGUUUACUGAUUACACUUCUGCUCCCCAGAGGAUGAACCCCAGAACAAAAUAUACAUGCAAGCUGAUGGCAGCGGUGUGUGGUUGUGGAGUGGACGCUGUCGCAGCAGGAAAAGACGUUGCCCAUUAGCAGCAAUGUAUAAGGCCUUGUGUUGUUUGAUUAAUCCAUCAUACCCCUCAAAACAUUUUUUUAGAAUUUGUACAAACAGUAUUCAUUCCUUUUUUCUAAAAAUAAAUAAUCUGUUCUGUCGUGGAAA